AGCAGCCGCGGUAAUUCCAGCUCCAAUAGCGUAUAUUAAAGUUGUUGCAGUUAAAAAGCUCGUAGUUGAAUUUCGGGAUCAAGGAAUCGGUCAUGCCUCGGUAUGUACUGGUUUUAUUGGUUCUCACCUUCUAAAGAACCAUAAUGUCAUUCAUUUGAUGUUAUGGGGAAUUAGGACUGUUACCUUGAAAAAAUUAGAGUGUUUAAAGCAGGCUUACGCUUGAAUACAUUAGCAUGGAAUAAUGAAAUAGGACAUCAGAUUCUAUUUUGUUGGUUUCUAGGAUCGAUGUAAUGAUUAAUAGGGAUAGUUGGGGGCAUUAGUAUUCAAUUGUCAGAGGUGAAAUUCUUGGAUUUAUUGAAGACUAACUACUGCGAAAGCAUUUGCCAAGGAUGUUUUCAUUAAUCAAGAACGAAAGUUAGGGGAUCGAAGACGAUCAGAUACCGUCGUAGUCUUAACCAUAAACUAUGCCGACUAGGGAUCGGAUGAUGUAAUUUUAUAAUGACUCAUUC
rnacentral:rRNA from 1 species